rnacentral:rRNA from 1 species
GACGAACGCUGGCGGCGUGCCUAAUACAUGCAAGUCGAGCGGACAGACGGGAGCUUGCUCCCUGAUGUUAGCGGCGGACGGGUGAGUAACACGUGGGUAACCUGCCUGUAAGACUGGGAUAACUCCGGGAAACCGGGGCUAAUACCGGAUGGUUGUCUGAACCGCAUGGUUCAGACAUAAAAGGUGGCUUCGGCUACCACUUACAGAUGGACCCGCGGCGCAUUAGCUAGUUGGUGAGGUAACGGCUCACCAAGGCAACGAUGCGUAGCCGACCUGAGAGGGUGAUCGGCCACACUGGGACUGAGACACGGCCCAGACUCCUACGGGAGGCAGCAGUAGGGAAGCUUCCGCAAUGGACGAAAGUCUGACGGAGCAACGCCGCGUGAGUGAUGAAGGUUUUCGGAUCGUAAAGCUCUGUUGUUAGGGAAGAACAAGUGCCGUUCAAAUAGGGCGGCACCUUGACGGUACCUAACCAGAAAGCCACGGCUAACUACGUG